GCCUACGGGAGGCAGCAGUGAGGAAUAUUGGUCAAUGGGCGCGAGCCUGAACCAGCCAAGUCGCGUGAGGGAUGACGGCCCUACGGGUUGUAAACCUCUUUUGUCGGGGAGCAAAUUCCGUUACGUGUAACGGAGUCGAGAGUACCCGAAGAAAAAGCAUCGGCUAACUCCGUGCCAGCAGCCGCGGUAAUACGGAGGAUGCGAGCGUUAUCCGGAUUUAUUGGGUUUAAAGGGUGCGCAGGCGGAAGCGCAAGUCAGCGGUAAAAUUGAGAGGCUCAACCUCUUCCCGCCGUUGAAACUGCGUU
rnacentral:rRNA from 1 species